rnacentral:lncRNA from 1 species
UAAAUCACAGAAACCUAUCUGCCGUGUAGAGUGCAGCCGUCCUAAUUUUUUCUUGCUGCUGAUGGAGGUGUUGGUGGCAGAGGAUGGGGGUUAGUAAUCCGUUGUGUAUUUGUGAACAUUAGUCCUCUGUACCGUCUGAAGGUGACCAAUGUAUUUGCCAGUCAGACUCCUCAGGAAAUGCUGGUCAGUCUUUGCGUGAUGCAGCAGUGUGAAGCUUUCUAAAUUUCCAAAAGCAACAAUCCUAAUUUGUCAAGAAAUUUGCCUCAGAGUGUGGCAGAACAAAAACCUGUAAACCUGUAGCGCUUUAGUGUAAUUGACAAAAUCAAGGUGCCACCAUUUGCUACCUCUGUGACCUGGGGAAAGACCUAACCUCUCUGCCUUAAUUCCCCUAUCUGUGAAACAGGCUAAUGCUACCCACCGCCGCAAGUUCUUGUGAGGAUUAAAUGGCGUACUGUGUGGCGAGCCCUAAGCACCAUGACUGGUGCAUAGGACUAAUCGAGAAACGCUGAUUCUUGUUACUUGUUAGGUCUUUAAGUCCACUGAUGACAGGAAACUCUUCGGUGGGUCCAGAGACAAGCUGCUGGAAAUCCUGCAUAUUUAUUUUCUAGAAGGAAGUGAGCUGAUUAAGAGAGUGAUCCCUUCAGAGACAUCCUCCCUUUAAAAAACUUUAAAGGACUCCAAAUUAAGCCAUAUCCAUUUCUGGGACCCUAAAGUGGCUCACGAAAGCCAAAGGCCUCUAGCUUAAUGUUAGGUGAUUUCAAAAACCUCGAUACAGGGAGUGCAAAGGUGGAGAGGGCAAUGAGGAAUAAAUUGAGAGAACCUACCAAGUGGUGGGUAGCUCUUUAAUUCCAAGCGUGUUCUAUUCCACUUUGUAUCUUUCCUUAAAAAAAGAAAAUGUGUCUUUUUUGAAAAGAGGUAUUGCUCUCUAUGAAUAUUCAGUGCUUAACAUCUGACUAUGGACCCAUCAUUAGGUCUAGGGUAGCUCGCAACCUGAUUUACAAAUUCGAAAGCGUAAGACAGAUCAACUCAAUUGCUCAAGGCCAUGGAUUUGCACGUUGGAGUGCGCACUGAACAUUUCCUGCCCUUGGACUGGUGUACUGGGCAAUGCUGCUUUUCUAUAAAAAUUUGUUCCUAUCUUGGAUUUAACACA